rnacentral:rRNA from 1 species
UACGUAGGUGGCAAGCGUUGUCCGGAAUUAUUGGGCGUAAAGCGCGCGCAGGCGGUCCUUUAAGUCUGAUGUGAAAGCCCACGGCUCAACCGUGGAGGGUCAUUGGAAACUGGGGGACUUGAGUGCAGAAGAGGAGAGUGGAAUUCCACGUGUAGCGGUGAAAUGCGUAGAGAUGUGGAGGAACACCAGUGGCGAAGGCGACUCACUGGCCCGAUACUGACGCUGAGGCACGAAAGCGUGGGGAGCAAACAGG